rnacentral:tRNA from 1 species
GGUCGCUUAGCUCAGUUGGUAGAGCGCCACCCUUACAAGGUGGAUGUCAUA